rnacentral:rRNA from 1 species
CCUACGGGUGGCAGCAGUGAGGAAUAUUGGUCAAUGGGCUUACGCCUGAACCAGCCAAGUCGCGUGAGGGAAGACUGCCCUAUGGGUUGUAAACCUCUUUUGUCAGGGAGCAACGCCGGCUACGUUUAGCCGGACUGAGAGUACCUGAAGAAACAACAUCGGCUAACUCCGUGCGCAGAGCCGCGGAAACCCGGGGGAUGCGAGCGUUAUCCGGAUUUAGUGGGUUUAAAGGGCGCGUAGGGGGAGUGCCAAGUAAGCGGUAAGACCUCGGCGCUAAACCUCGCUGCGCCGGUGAAACUGGCGUUCUUGAGUGGGCGAGAGGUAUGAGGAAUGCGUGGUGUAGCGGUGAAAUGCAUAGAUAUCACGCAGAACUCCGAUUGCGAAGGCAGCAUACCGGCGCCCAACUGACGCUGAAGCACGAAAGCGUGGGUAUCGAACAGGAUUAGAUACCCUAGUAGUC